CUCUUGACAAUGGCAAGAGGAAAGAAGAAAACCUUUGCCAAACAGAAAAUAUUUUGCCUUCUAGGCUUUUACUGCUGUGCUUGCGUAAGCAUUAAAUUGGAUAUCAAAAAAAAAAGGAACGGAUACAUCUUCUGUAUGACUUCGAGAUGUGAAACCGCUGGCUCAACAAAUCAGUCAAAGUUGAGUGCACCUCUACCACCUCUUCCAUCAUCACAAUUGGAAGUCAAAACUUGAACGACAGAAAGAAGAGCAACAUUACCCAAGACUUGGCACUAGCAGGGCAUUUCUUAAUUCCACCAAGUCGAUUUUUCCACCUCGAUAUCUAUCAAAGUUUUCAGAGAUGGCAAUGCACAAGAUAUGGACACGUUUUAUUAACAUUUAGAACAAACCUCCUGAUGAUGGACUCUUUCGUCUCUAGGGGUUGUAUCUGUAGGUCAACUCUUUUGUGGCAUGAAGAAGUUCAGUAGCUAGCGAUG
rnacentral:lncRNA from 1 species